rnacentral:misc_RNA from 1 species
GAAAUGCGAUAAGUAAUGUGAAUUGCAGAAUUCAGUGAAUCAUCGAAUCUUUGAACGCACAUUGCGCCCGCCAGUAUUCUGGCGGGCAUGCCUGUUCGAGCGUCAUUUCAACCAUCAAGCCCCCGGGCCUGUGUUGGGGACCUGCGGCCGCCGCAGGCCCCAAAAAGCAGUGGCGGGCUCGCUGUCACCCCGAGCGUAGUAGUAAUCACCUCGCUUAGGGCGUGCUGUGGGCGCCGGCCGUUAAAAACCAAUAUACCCCCCAAAGGUUGACCCCGGAUCAGGUAGGAAUACCCGCUGAACUUAAGC